GCAGCCACUCAUUCAAAGAGUGCGUAAUAGCUCACUGGUCGAGUGAUCCUGCGCCGAAGAUUUCCGGGGCUAAAACUUACUACCGAAGCUACGGCAUCAGUAAUGAUGGGUAGGGGAGCUUCCCAUACGGGUUGAAGCAUGACCGUAAGGACAUGUGGACAGUAUGGGAGUGAGAAUGUUGGCAUGAGUAGCGAGAUGUGGGUGAGAAUCCCACAGGCCGUAAACCCAAGGUUUCCAGGGGAAGGUUCGUCCGCCCUGGGUUAGUCGGGACCUAAGCUGAGGCCGAAAGGCGUAGGUGAUGGACAACAGGUUGAUAUUCCUGUACUACCGAUAACCGUUUGAGAGAUGGGAUGACACAGUAGGAUAAGCUAAGCACACUGUUGGUUAUGUGUGCCCAAGCAUUGAGGCAGUCAAAGUAGGCAAAUACGCUUUGAUAAUGCUGGGAUGUGAUGGGGAGCGAAAUUUAGUAGCGAAGUAGCUGAUUUCACACUGUCAAGAAAAGUCUCUAUCGAGG
rnacentral:rRNA from 1 species